AUACGGAGGGUCCGAGCGUUAUCCGGAAUCAUUGGGUUUAAAGGGCCCGUAGGCGGGAAUCUAAGUCAGUGGUGAAAUCUUGCAGCUCAACUGUAAAAUUGCCAUUGAUACUGGAUUUCUUGAAUUAGUGUGAAGUGGUUAGAAUGUGUAGUGUAGCGGUGAAAUGCAUAGAUAUUACACAGAAUACCAAUUGCGAAGGCAGAUCACUAACACUAUAUUGACGCUGAGGGACGAAAGCGUGGGGAGCGAACAGGAUUAGAAACCCCAGUAGUCC
rnacentral:rRNA from 1 species